UACGGGAGGCAGCAGUGGGGGAUAUUGCGCAAUGGGGGAAACCCUGACGCAGCAACGCCGCGUGGAUGAUGACGGUUUUCGGAUUGUAAAGUCCUUUUCUUAGGGACGAAAUUUGACGGUACCUAAGGAAUAAGCUCCGGCUAACUACGUGCCAGCAGCCGCGGUAAU
rnacentral:rRNA from 1 species